CUUCGUCUUCUGUGACUUGUGUCUCAGUCUGACUUAGAACUCUUUCAUGUGCGCACAACUGACUUGUCUAGUUCUCAACUGAGUUUCUUUUUUGACCUUAACAUCCAACUGGAUUUGAAUUCAAGAUAUUCCAGAGGUAAAGUAAGGACAGGUAAAGUGCACAUUAGGAGCAUUCCUGGUAAUUUCGUCUCGCUCUCUAGCUCCGUAAGCAAUUCGCACCAGAUAUUCUUUAAAAUUAACACAUGAGAUGUGUAAUGAUGUCGUGGUUCGUGUAUUUCUUGUACUAAUGAAUUUCAGGCAUAGGACGUAUGUCUCGUCUACGCACGUACCUUCAUAGAUGCACUCUAUGUCGUCUAACUUAGCGGUAUCAAAUUGCACAAAUCCUGGCACAGUGUCAGCAGAAAUGUUUGUCGUAAACAAAAUUAAAAUAAUCAUCGCUUGUUUUUAUCGCUACAUGAGCGCUAAGGAGGAUGGUAUUUUCUUCUUACCUUCGAAAAUAUCUGAACCUUCCGGCAUUGCCUUGAAUACUGUUAAAAUUUUAAACCUCCAGGUUAUGUAACACUAGAACUAUUGGGAUUCUAAUUUCCCUAUUUGAAUUUGACUCGUGUUUAAUGCUUGCUCCGUUUUAACUCUGCUCUGCUCUGUACUUUAAAAUUAGUAGAGAAAUAAUAAGUUCAUAUCAAUCAUAGGUAUCUCUAUUUACAUUUAUUUGACAGUAAACAACAGUUGCUAGGUAACAACAUUAUGAAUAAUAAUAGGUCUUGACAUACGAGGUAUAUACAACCUUCUUAAUGUUGUAUUCAUGCCUUUAAAUUGUACCAAUUUUAUAGUGACGUCUGGUGAUGUAGUUUGCACAAUCGGUAGUCAACUUUACACAAAAGUAGGUUAUCGGAUGCCAUUAAUAGAAACCGCCGCCAUCUUUACUAAUGUUAACUACGUUUCUAAGUGUCGCCCCCCCGCUCUAGAGUCUAUCUAUGGAUGAUCUAUGGAAAAUACUGACAAUGACACUCGCUUGAGUUAAGUCAAAAUAAGUUUAAAAUCCAGAUCCAUUUCGAUCCAGGGUAUGUAGUCCCUAGUUCCAGAAACACUAAUCAAAAUGUUAAAACAAGUACGAGUAAAUGUGCCUACUACCAUAUUAACGCACAGAAUUGGCUGCAAUUCCUAUGUACCUACAAUGUGUUCCAUAUAACAAAUAGCAGCAGUCAUGUUUAUGCUUGGGUGAAAUACUGACUGAAGAUAUGAAAAACCCAAAUACUGAAGUGAAUAUAAGUUGGUCUCGCGAGUUCACUCUUCUGUUGUACACCAUAGGCACGUUCCUCGUCGUGCUGGUCAUAUACAUGGCCUCGAGGGGUUGGAAGGGCUGCACUGCCCCGGAAGAAGUGGAUUUAGGGGCCCUCCACGUGUCUCAGCUUCAUGACAACCGCACACGCCAAACGUACUGAUUGCAUUUAAUAAUUUUAGUUAAACGUAGGUAUUAUUUUGACUUUGUAAUGUCAUUAAUGUCCCUAAAUUUGAUAGUCAGCGUUAGUAGGUAGAUAUACUAUAGCAAUGUUAAUACAAGAGAACAUGGAGAUGUUAAUACAAGAGAACAUGGAAAAAGGCAUAAAAUUUUGUUUAACCAUUUAACCUUUUUAAAAAAUUAAAAAAAAUUUGCAACCUCGUAUGAAUACGAUAUAGUCAGGUUUUUUUUAUUAAUUUUAAGUGGGAAUAAUUGUUUCCUUCUGUUGUAAUUUCCAAGUUGUUGUAGGUCAAUUAAUGUCAUAAAGUACUCAUUUUCAUAGUGCGACUGAAGCUUUGUAGGGAAUUCUAAAUAUUUUAUAAAACAAGUUAUUUGAAA